rnacentral:rRNA from 1 species
GACGAACGCUGGCGGCGUGCUUAACACAUGCAAGUCGAACGGAAAGGCCCUGUUUGCAUGGUGCUCGGGUGGCGAACGGGUGAGUAACUCGUGGGUGAUCUGCCCCUUACUUUGGGGUAAGCCUGGGAAGCUGGGUCUAAUACUGGAUAGGUCCAUGCUGUAGGCGGUGUGGUGGAGUGUUUAGUUUCGGUUUGCAAUGAGCUCGCGGCCUCUCAGCUUGUUGUUGGGGUAUUGGCCUACCAAGGCGUCGACGGGUAUCCGGCCCAAGAGGGUGGACGGACACAUUGGGCCUGGGAGGGAGCCCAGAGUCCUGCGGGAGGGAGCAGUGGGGAAUAUUGGACAAUGGGCGGAAGCCUGAUGCAGCGACGCCGUGUGGGGGAUGACGGCCUUCGGGUUGUAAGCUCCUUUCUGCCAGGACGAAGCCCUUGUGGUGACGGUAGUGGUAGAAGAAGCACCGGCUAACUACGUG